rnacentral:rRNA from 1 species
CCUACGGGUGGCAGCAGUGAGGAAUAUUGGUCAAUGGCCGGAAGGCUGAACCAGCCAAGCCGCGUGAAGGACGAAGGUGCCAAGCAUUGUAAACUUCUUUUGUCAAGGGACAAAAUCAGGCUCGAGAGCCUGACCGAGGGUACUUGAAGAAAAAGCAUCGGCUAACUCCGUGCCCGCAGCGGCGGUAAUACGGAGCAUGCGCGCGUUAUCCGGUUUUAUUGGGUUUAAAGGGUGCGUAGGCGGACUGUUAAGUCAGCGGUAAAACCUCGGGGCUCAAACCCGGCGAGCCGUUGAAACUGGGUGUCUUGAGAUGUCGAGAGGUAUGCGGAAUGCGCAGUGUAGCGGUGAAAUGCUUAGAUAUUGCGCAGAACUCCGAUUGCGAAGGCAGCAUACCGGCGGCGAUCUGACGCUGAGGCACGAAAGCGUGGGUAUCGAACAGGAUUAGAUACCCUAGUAGUC